GAUGAACGCUGACAGAAUGCUUAACACAUGCAAGUCUUUGGCGAAUCUGUGCUUGCACAGGCUAGCCAAGGCGGACGGGUGAGUAACGCGUAAAGAACUUGCCCUGCAGACAGGGAUAACAGACGGAAACGACUGAUAACACCUGAUACAGUUGCCGGCACGCAUGUGCCUGGCAAUGAAAAGAGAUGCUGCAGGAGAGCUUUGCGUCCUAUUAGCUUGUUGGUGAGGUGACGGCUCACCAAGGCGAUGAUAGGUAGCCGGCCUGAGAGGGUGAACGGCCACAAGGGGACUGAGAUACGGCCCUUACUCCUACGGGAGGCAGCAGUGGGGAAUAUUGGACAAUGGGGGCAACCCUGAUCCAGCAAUUCUGUGUGCACGAAGAAGGUUUUCGGAUUGUAAAGUGCUUUCAGCAGGGAAGAAGAAAGUGACGGUACCUGCAGAAGAAGCGACGGCUAAAUACGU
rnacentral:rRNA from 1 species